GAUGAACGCUAGCUACAGGCUUAACACAUGCAAGUCGAGGGGCAGCAUGGUCUUAGCUUGCUAAGGCUGAUAGCGACCGGCGCACGGGUGAGUAACACGUAUCCAACCUGCCGUCUACUCUUGGCCAGCCUUCUGAAAGGAAGAUUAAUCCAGGAUGGCAUCAUGAGUUCACAUGUCCGCAUGAUUAAAGGUAUUUUCCGGUAGACGAUGGGGAUGCGUUCCAUUAGAUAGUAGGCGGGGUAACGGCCCACCUAGUCAACGAUGGAUAGGGGUUCUGAGAGGAAGGUCCCCCACAUUGGAACUGAGACACGGUCCAAACUCCUACGGGAGGCAGCAGUGAGGAAUAUUGGUCAAUGGGCGAUGGCCUGAACCAGCCAAGUAGCGUGAAGGAUGACUGCCCUAUGGGUUGUAAACUUCUUUUAUAAAGGAAUAAAGUCGGGUAUGCAUACCCGUUUGCAUGUACUUUAUGAAUAAGGAUCGGCUAACUCCGUGCCAGCAGCCGCGGUAAUACGGAGGAUCCGAGCGUUAUCCGGAUUUAUUGGGUUUAAAGGGAGCGUAGAUGGAUGUUUAAGUCAGUUGUGAAAGUUUGCGGCUCAACCGUAAAAUUGCAGUUGAUACUGGAUGUCUUGAGUGCAGUUGAGGCAGGCGGAAUUCGUGGUGUAGCGGUGAAAUGCUUAGAUAUCACGAAGAACUCCGAUUGCGAAGGCAGCCUGCUAAGCUGCAACUGACAUUGAGGCUCGAAAGUGUGGGUAUCAAACAGGAUUAGAUACCCUGGUAGUCCACACGGUAAACGAUG
rnacentral:rRNA from 1 species